UACGGAGGGUGCAAGCGUUAAUCGGAAUUACUGGGCGUAAAGCGUGCGCAGGCGGUUUGUUAAGUCCGCUGUGAAAUCCCCCGAGCUCAACUUGGGAAUUGCAGUGGAUACUGGCAAGCUGGAGUAUGGUAGAGGAAGGUGGAAUUCCCGGUGUAGCAGUGAAAUGCGUAGAGAUCGGGAGGAACACCAGUGGCGAAGGCGGCCUUCUGGACCAAUACUGACGCUCAUGCACGAAAGCGUGGGGAGCAAACAGG
rnacentral:rRNA from 1 species